UUGUUAUGUAUUUUCUGGGGAUCAAAUAACCGAAACAGGAAAUGCAGCAAACGAUCUUUUUUAUUUUUCUUGUUUAAGAAAAAAACAAAGAGCAAAAACAAGCAAUUGAUAAAGGAUAGAUAGAAGUUGAUUCAAGAGCUUUUAAGCUCUAAUACCAAAAUGAUGUAAGAUCCAAAUGGACAGUCUAACUUAUGGUUGAAGGGGAGAUGAAACAUGGUUGUACAACACUUUCUUUCAAAUCCGGUGGAUGAUCAAUGAAGUGAAGUGGUUUGAUGAAACCAAGCCAACUGGUUGUUCAACACUCUCUCUGGACUUGAUCAGCGGGUGGAAUGGAUAGAUGGUGGACUGAGGACGCUACAAAAUCUACGGAAAAGAGCUUUGAUAAGUCAAGAAAAUCUGAACAAAAAAAAAAAAAAAUCUGAACACAAUGAAUCACACACAAGUGCUGAGAGAAUUGGUUUUUGGUUUCUUUGCAAAGGCAAACAAAUAAAAUAUGUUUCUGACUAAAAUUGGGAGCUUUACAAUGAAGAAAACAGAGCUUAUACAGGCUCAUGGAACGACUCAACUAAGGACUAAAACAAGAAAGAAAUCAAUAACUGAAUAAAACUAGCCAUUGGGG
rnacentral:lncRNA from 1 species